GAUGAACGCUGGCGGCGUGCCUAAUACAUGCAAGUCGAGCGAACGGACGAUAAGCUUGCUUCUCUGAUGUUAGCGGCGGACGGGUGAGUAACACGUGGAUAACCUACCUAUAAUACGGGGAUAACUUCGGGAGACCGGUGCUAAUACCGGAUGAUAUUUUGAACGGCAUGGUUCAAGAGUGAAAGACGGUCUUGCUGUCACUUAUAGAUGGAGCCGCGCUGCAUUAGCUAGUUGGUAAGGUAACGGCUUACCAAGGCAACGAUGCAUAGCCGACCUGAGAGGGUGAUCGGCCACACUGGAACUGAGACACGGUCCAGACUCCUACGGGAGGCAGCAGUAGGGAAUAUUCCGCAAUGGGCGAAAGCCUGAUGGAGCAAUGCCGCGUGAGUGAUGAAGGUCUUCGGAUCGUAAAACUCUGUUAUUAGGGAAGAACAUAUGUGUAAUUAAACGUGCACAUCUUGACGGUACCUAAUCAGAAAGCAACGGCUAACUACGUG
rnacentral:rRNA from 1 species